AAAAAACUCAACCACCACCUAUUCCUAGUUGACGAACUCCUAUCACGAUUCUGGUCCACACUCCCUUCAAACUGAAUGCAACCUAGCCUCGUCCCUACUUGAUGGAUUGGAGGAUGAGUUCUUUCUCUAUCGUGCAGACAAGCGCAGCUUUGAGGCCGAGUAGUCUUCCAUGGAGGGUGUGGCCCUGGCGACGGGUCGAGAUCACCCUACCACAUGUCUGCAUCAUGUCGUUCCUUUCUCCUCAAUUUUAAGAAAAUGUCCGCCUACUCCCCGACGCCUCCCUCCCGACGGAGCGCCUUCCUUCCGGUUCCCACUCACCACUCUGUGCAGCAUGGAGGCUUCGUUUAUCACUCUUUCUCCGUCAGCAGAAAAGAAGGAUUUCUUUGGAACAUGUUUUAUAAGAGGACAAGACAAGUGAAGGCUUAUUCUAGAUGCUGAUGCUACUGAAGUUGGCUCGUCGCAUGAGAGCAAAUGCCAAUAUGCUGAUGAGCACGUAUAUUUGACAUUUAAUCCUUUAUUUUGUCAGACAACAAGCUUUGGCAAAUAAUGAGGAACAAAUGCCAAGAUGCUGAAGUUUACUUGUCAUUUAA